UGUGAUUAUGGAGGAAAGUUGACCUCAUCAGAGGCACGCCAUUCGACUGAGUGACCUAUCAGCUUGUACUUAGGGUCUUUACCUAGGUAGGCUAUCACGGGUAACGGGCGGUUACCGUCGGACUGCCGGAGAAGGCGCCUGAGAGAUAGCGACUAUAUCCACGGGUAGCAGCAGGCGCGAAACUUUCCCACUCGAGACUUUCGGAGGAGGUAAUGACCAGUUCCAUUGGUGCCUUUUGGUACUGUGGAUAGGGGUACGGUUUUCCACCGUACCGAAACCUAGCAGAGGGCCAGUCUGGUGCCAGCAGCUGCGGUAAUUCCAGCUCUGCGAGUUUGCUCCCAUAUUGUUGCAGUUAAAACGCCCGUAGUCUGAAUUGGCCAGCAAUGGUCGUACGUAUUUUUACGUUCACUGUGAACAAAUCAGGACGCUUAGAGUAUGGCCACAUGAAUGACUCAGCGCAGUAUGAAGUCUUUGUUUUCUUCCGAAAACAAGCUCAAUGAGAGCCAUCGGGGGUAGAUCUAUCUCAUGACGAGUGGUGGAAUACUUUGACUCAUGAGAGAGAAGCUGAGGCGAAGGCGUCUACCUAGAGGGUUUCUGUCGAUCAAGGGCGAGAGUAGGAGUAUCCAACAGGAUUAGAGACCCUGGUAGUUCCUACCUUAAACGAUGCCGACAGGAGUUUGUCAUUUGUUAAUGGCAGAAUCUUUGGAGAAAUCAUAGUUCUUGGGCUCUGGGGGAACUACGACCGCAAGGCUGAAACUUGAAGGAAUUGACGGAAGGGCACACCAGGGGUGGAGCCUGUGGCUUAAUUUGAAUCAACACGGGGAAACUUACCAGGACCAGAUGUUUUUUAUGACUGACAGGCUUCGGGUCUUUCAGGAUAUUGUUUUUGGUGGUGCAUGGCCGUUGGUGGUGCGUGGGUUGACCUGUCUAGCGUUGAUUCAGCUAACGAGCGAGAUUAUCGCCAAUUAUUUAC
rnacentral:ncRNA from 2 species